UACGGGGGGAGCAAGCGUUGUUCGGAUUUACUGGGCGUAAAGGGCGCGUAGGCGGGUGGUCAAGUCCGGGGUGAAAUCCUCCAGCUCAACUGGAGAACUGCCUCGGAUACUGGGUGUCUCGAGGGUGGUAGGGGUAUGCGGAACUAUCGGUGGAGCGGUGAAAUGCGUAGAUAUCUGGAGGAACACCGGUGGCGAAGGCGGCAUCCUGGACCGGCAUUGACGCUGAGGAGCGAAAGCCAGGGGAGCAAACGGG
rnacentral:rRNA from 1 species